rnacentral:lncRNA from 1 species
UGCGUACUAGAAUAUGAAAAAGUGGGUUGAGCGGCGGCACGGCACAUGCUUUCCUGUAAAGUCGAGAACAUCGGUGGCACUACGAUCGAACUAUACAUUCCCGCGCCGACGCUCAUGAUGAUAGCGGAAAAUGUUCUCAGAUUAUGCGCCCCAAUCAACCUGCCAACAUAA